rnacentral:rRNA from 1 species
GAUGAACGCUGGCGGCGUGCCUAAUACAUGCAAGUCGAGCGAACAGACGAGGAGCUUGCUCCUCUGACGUUAGCGGCGGACGGGUGAGUAACACGUGGAUAACCUACCUAUAAGACUGGGAUAACUUCGGGAAACCGGAGCUAAUACCGGGUAACAUGUUGAACCGCAUGGUUCAACAGUGAAAGACGGUCUUGCUGUCACUUAUAGAUGGAUCCGCGCCGCAUUAGCUAGUUGGUAAGGUAACGGCUUACCAAGGCAACGAUGCGUAGCCGACCUGAGAGGGUGAUCGGCCACACUGGAACUGAGACACGGUCCAGACUCCUACGGGAGGCAGCAGUAGGGAAUCUUCCGCAAUGGGCGAAAGCCUGACGGAGCAACGCCGCGUGAGUGAUGAAGGUCUUCGGAUCGUAAAACUCUGUUAUUAGGGAAGAACAAAUGUGUAAGUAACUAUGCACGUCUUGACGGUACCUAAUCAGAAAGCCACGGCUAACUACGUG